CCAUGAAAUUUGGCCACAAAAGACAUGGUCAUCCCUGCUGUGUUUAGACAGCAAAACCAAAAAAAUUAAUAAAAAUAAUCAAACUGGAAGUCACUCAAAAUCCCAAAAAACCAGAAAACUGCACUGGGCGCAUGCACGGAGCAGCCCCCAUCCUUGGAAGACAGGCAUGCAUGAAAGGCAGCUGCACAUGAGCAUCCCAACCGCCGGCCCGGCAGAUUGCGUAACGCCACGGAGGACAAUAGCCCUAAACAACCACAUCCAAGACAGAGGAAAAAAGGACUAUCUUUUUAUAACUACCACUCACAUUCCCAGGCUGAUGGUUCGCCUGAUAUCAGACUGAUUGAAACAUGAAAUGACAAGCUGAAGUGAGAAGUCAGAAGUGGUGGUGGCAGGUGAGGAGAGAAGAGAAAAGAAAAUGCUACUAUGGAGUAUCUAUAAGGCAUAGCUGAGAUGUGGGAGCUGAUCUCCCCCGAGAUAUUAUUUCCUACAAUCACUGCAGGUCCUAAAGAGACCCUUCAUUGCCAGUCACAUUCAUACAAGCUAAACAAAGAGAAAGAGUAAAGUCCUGGCCAUGAAGUCGGAAACAUCAACAAAGCAAGUCUUUUUGCCAAGGCUGCAUUCAGGCAUUAUCCAUUAACACUGUUCAAAAAUUCUCUGUCAACCUCUUGGCAUCGCCCAAAUAUAGUUUUGUAACAAUAUGAACUUUAUACUCUUUGCUUUAUUAUGAUUGUCACAUGCAAAAGUUAAGGUUUUAGAAGCCAAAAUAAAUUAAAAUGAAAUUGUAUUUUA